rnacentral:tRNA from 1 species
GCGGAAGUAGCUCAGCUGGUAGAGCGUAACCUUGCCAAGGUUAAGGCCGCGGGUUCGAACCCCGUCUUCCGCUC